AUUGCUCUAGCUCAGUGGUAGAGCAUUUGACUGCAGAUCAAGCAGUUCCCAGUUCAAAUUGGGGUGCCUCU